UACGGGGGGAGCAAGCGUUGUUCGGAUUUACUGGGCGUAAAGGGCGCGCAGGCGGCGCUUCAAGUCCGUUGUGAAAUUUCAGGGCUUAACCCUGACGGGUCAACGGAAACUGAAGGGCUAGAGUGCAGCAGAGGAAAGCGGAAUUCCCGGUGUAGUGGUGAAAUGCGUAGAUAUCGGGAGGAACACCAGAGGCGAAAGCGGCUUUCUGGGCUGUAACUGACGCUGAGGCGCGAAGGCUAGGGGAGCAAACAGG
rnacentral:rRNA from 1 species